AGGCGGACCGCCGCCUCCUUCACUGGGAGGUCCGGGUAUGUGUGGGAUGAGUCAUGAAGUUAUUACACCGUCAGUUUCAUUGUCCUGGGCAGCAAUGUUUGUUGGAAGUACUUAUGUGUUUUUUUAAUGUAUUUUUUUCAGGACCAGUUGGCUCGUGGCCUGAUUCCUAAAACGGCAAGCAAGAAAUUGCCAAAGUACCAGUGGUACUGCAGGAUAUGGAGACGGCAGCCCCCACCCGGAGGAGGCGGACCGCCGUGUCCUCCGGUGGGAGAUCCGGACCUUCCUGGACCCCCGCCUGUUUCCCGUGGAUCCUGUUUGGAUGAGCAUGAGUGGGAGUGAGUUUCAGCGUGGGACUAGAGUUAGU
ensembl:lncRNA